rnacentral:precursor_RNA from 15 species
CCACCUUCAGUUGUUCUGUGUGCGGUGCCUUUCACAAGAAGGUGUCUUUCAUGUACAGUCAAAUGUGAACGUCACCUUCUUGAGAAACUUACUGUACCACAAGCACAACAUGUGUGUG